rnacentral:rRNA from 1 species
CGUAGUUGGAUUUCUGUUGGGAACGACCGGUCCGCCCACUGGGUGUGCAUCUGGCUUGUUCUCGGCAUCUUCUUGGUGAACGUUGCUGCACUUGACUGUGUGGAGCGCUACCCAGGACUUUUACUUUGAGGAAAUUAGAGUGUUUCAAGCAGGCAUAUGCCUUGAAUACAUUAGCAUGGAAUAAUAAGAUAGGACCUCGGUUCUAUUUUGUUGGUUUCUAGAGCUGAGGUAAUGA